CCAGCCAGAGCUCCCACCUCAGCUGUUGAAUACAUGGAACAGGCCUAUCAAUUCCUCUAAGUUUGUGUUAACGACCGACACGUCCCUAGUGUCCUACGUGCCAAAGAAAUGCAAAAAUGUGGUACUCAUGAGUAUGCUGAAUAGGGAUGACCAGAAAAAACAGAAAUCAUAAUGAAUUACAAUGCCAUAAAAGGAGCGGUGGACAAUUGUUAGAUAAGCUGGUGACUGGCUACAGCUGCAAAAGAAGAACCCUACGCUCGCCACUUGGACAUUUUGGCGUACAACGUGUUUGUCAUCUUGACGAAUCCAUCGUGAAGAGGAUUCAGGAGGAGGAUGCUGCUGCCCCAUCCGCAUGACCCACAGACCCGACAAUUCACACAAAUUGCGGCCGGUAGCAACAAGAAGGGCUGCGAUGUGUGUGGACCCAAGAAGGACAGAAAGACACAGUACACAUGUAUCAAGUGCAAGAAAUGAUUUGCAACACACACACAGUAAAACUCUGUCCCUCAUGUGGUGUAUAGACCGGCCUUAAUUUGUGUUCAAUUGGGCUCAUUUUAUAAUUUCCCUAAAAUACUGUACAGUGGGGCAAAAAAGUAUUUAGUCAGCCACCAAAUGUGCAAGUUCUCCUACUUAAAAAUAUGAGAGAGGCCUGUAAUUUUCAUCAAAGUCAGUGUUGCCCAGCAACAGCCCCAAAACAUCACUGCUCUAGAGGAGAUCUGCAUGGAGGAAUGGGCCAAAAUACCAGCAACAGUGUGUGAAAACCUUGUGAAGACUUACAGAAAACGUUUGACCUCUGUCAUUGCCAACAAAGAGUAUAUAACAAAGUAUUGAGAUAAACUUUUGUUAUUGACCAAAUACUUAUUUUCCACCAACAUUUGCAAAUUAAUUAAUUAAAAAUCCUACAAUGUGAUUUUCUGUAUUUUAUUUCUCAUUUUGUCUGUCAUAGUUGAAGUGUACCUAUGAUGACUAAGUACUUUUUUGCCCCACUGUAUGUAGCAUUUGUUCUUCCAAUUUGUUCAGUUCGAAGCCUCAAACAUCAAUAGUUAUGAAAACCUCAUUUCAUUUAUAUUUGUUCCAGAUAAACAUGAUUUAUUCUACCCAUGUCUUGAUCAUAAAAGAUUUUUGUUGACAAAAUCUUUUAAUUUUUUAAUUUUAUGAAUAUAGCUUUUCUUGAUAAAUGUGAUCUAGCAGAGGUAAAUGGCAAAUAUUAACCAUGUAUGCUGUCUAUAUUGCUUAUAAUUGAUAUAAGUCAACAUUUAAGUAUUAAAUAUUUUAAAGUAAAUUGUUAUUGCUGUAUUGUUUUAAAAACACAAUGAUGUUGUGGGUCCAUCAGACCCGCAAACAUUGGGUGAAUAACAAAAACAUGAACACCACACAAGGGUUAUGUAAUGUGUUGGUUCGGGCUCAUAGCUAGCUAUAGUUCUUAAGCUGUAUUUCCUCCAGCUGUAUUUUCUACCUUGUCCUUGCCUCAUUAUAUGUGUCAAUUGUGGUGACAGGUAGCGUAGUGAUUAGAGUGUUGGGCCAUUAACCAAAAGGUUGCUGGAUCGAAUCCUUGAGCUGAUAAAGUAAAAAUCUGUCGUUCUGCCCCAUAACAAGGCAAUUAACCCACUGUUCCCUGGUAGGCUGUCAUUGUAAAUAAGAAUUUGUUCUUAACUGACUUGCCUAGUUAAAUAAAGGUUUGAAAUAACUAACUUUUUAUUUUCAUUUUAAACAUUCUGUCACAUUCUGACCUAAGUUCCUUUUUUAUGUCUUUGUGUUAGGUUGGUCAGGGCGUGAGUUGGGGUGGGUCAUCCAUGUUCUUUUUUCUAUGUUGUAUUUCUAUGUUUUUGGCCUAGUAUGGUUCUCAAUCAGAGGCAGGUGUCGUUCGUUGUCUCUGAUUGAGAAUCAUACUUAGGUAGCCUGUUUUCCCCAUUUUGGUUGUGGGUGUUUGUUUUCUGUUUAGUGUAUGUCACCUUACAGAACGGGUUCGUUUCUUUCAUUUCACUUUGUUAUUUUGUUUUGUGCGUUCAGUCAAAUAAAGUAUGAUGAACACUUA